rnacentral:sRNA from 1 species
UCCAAAAAGCUAGCGAUCCACUUGCGAUCC